rnacentral:misc_RNA from 1 species
ACACAAUAAACUCAACUUAACCUUUAUUUCUUAUAAAAGUUGUAAUUCACUUAUACAUUGAAAUUGGUACAGUUUUUUAUACUAACUGGGGAAGUUUUAGGUUGCAUAUUUACUGUUUGAGACAAACUAUUAUUAAUUUCGUAUGAUUGUUCAUGUAUAUUUGUCAUACAAUGGCGUUUGCUAGUUGAUGGAGUUGGAUCUGAUGAAUUAUCAUUAUCAACGAAGGUAGAUGGACGAACGUUCUCUGCAACAUGUGGAUGGAGACGGACUGGACCUUAAAUUAAUGGAGUGUGGGAUUUUUUUCCCAGUUUCUAGUUUGUUGUUUAAUGAAUCACCAAUAUAGCUUUCUGCAACUUUGUAAUCUGAUAUUGAAACAAAUUAGUAGCUUCUUUUUCGAAAUAUACGUAUUUGCAUGAAUCAUAAAAACUUCUAUGAAUUUUUUUAGUAAAAACUUCAUGGUUGGUUUUUCUUUAUAAAAGACAUUAUUUUGACAGUUCGGAAAGAGAACACACGAGUUCGGGGAAAGGUAAAAAAAAAGCACGAGUAUGUAAUACACAUCAGUAGGGCGACACUCUUUUUGCUAUACUUUGUAUACCAAACUUGAAUUUUUAUAUAAAUUGGCAAAAUUGUACGUCAAAAUGAAAAAAUUUAAACGUCGGAAACGUCGUAAUUGUCAAAUUUUGACUCAAACAAUUAUUUCCUAACCGCCAUAUUAUAUUGCAAUCACCGAGUAACCACACCCGGAAUUUUGGAUUUUUAGUUUUUUCUGCAUAUAUAUUUUCUGAGCCCUAAUACUUUAUUGUGAGAAUAUUAUCCGUCGCUUCUAGGGAUUUACUAUGGAAAAUACAGUGAAACGUAAUGUGAGAUAUCAAAAA